UGCAGAAUUUCUAAACACACCAGCACAAGAAGAAACACCAGAAUUACAUUUUGAGGCUCCAUCAAUAUGACAUUUAAUCCAAUUAGGUAAAGGAGGGUUCCAUAAGACUUCUUUAAUCACUAGAGCAUCGGGGUGAUGAAUUUCUACCUUGAAAUGUUUGAGAACUGUAAAAUCCUUGAUAGAGCUAGAAGAGGUCGCACUAGUGUUAAAAGUAUGUUGCAU
rnacentral:lncRNA from 1 species